rnacentral:rRNA from 1 species
GAUGAACGCUGGCGGCGUGCUUAACACAUGCAAGUCGAACGAAGCACUUUGAUGGAUUCCUUCGGGUUGAAGCCAAAGUGACUGAGUGGCGGACGGGUGAGUAACGCGUGGGUAACCUGCCUCAUACAGGGGGAUAACAGUGAGAAAUCAUUGCUAAUACCGCAUAUGCCAUAGGUACCACAUUGUGCUAGUGGGAAAGGAGCAAUCCGCUAAUAGAUGAGCUUGCGUCUGAUUAGUUAGUUGGUGGGGUAACGGCCUACCAAGACGACGAUCAGUAGCCGGACUGAGAGGUUGAACGGCCACAUUGGGACUGAGAUACGGCCCAG